GAUGAAGAACGUAGCGAAAUGCGAUAAGUAAUGCGAAUUGCAGAAUUCAGUGAAUCAUCGAAUCUUUGAACGCACAUUGCGCCCUCUGGUAUUCCGGGGGGCAUGCCUGUUCGAGCGUCAUUAUAACCACUCAAGCUCUCGCUUGGUAUUGGAGUUCGCGAUCUCGCGGCUCCUAAAAUCAGUGGCGGUGCCUGUCGGCUCUACGCGUAGUAAUACUCCUCGCGAUUGAGUCCGGUAGGUUUACUUGCCAGCAACCCCCAAUUUUUACAGGUUGACCUCGGAUCAGGUAGGGAUACCCGCUGAACUUAAGCAUAUCAAUAAGCGGAGGA
rnacentral:misc_RNA from 1 species